rnacentral:lncRNA from 1 species
CCUGAUCAUCGAAAGGUACCUACUUUCCUUCUUCUGCUGGUUUUCCUUGCAUUUUAACCGAUUCGCAUCAUCCUGUAACUGCCUGGUGCAUAUGCUGUGGGUUGCUUUUUCCAUUUCUCCUUCUACGUAACUUAGGGUUUCGUCAAUCAUCGCAACGAACCUACGUUCGUUCGUUUUUCACCUUCCUUCCAUGAUCGAGUCAGCCUCUGUAACCCCUGAUCAUUUUUCCUUUUCUUCUUCCUUUGCAGCUGCAACAAUGACUCGCACAAAGAUCACCCCGA